CCUACGGGUUGCAGCAGUGAGGAAUAUUGGUCAAUGGGCGCGAGCCUGAACCAGCCAAGUAGCGUGAAGGAUGCCUGCCCUACGGGUUGUCAACUUCUUUUAUAAAAGAAUAAAGUGAGGUACGUGUGCCUUUUUGUAUGUACUUUAUGAAUAAGGAUCGUCUAACUCCGUGCCAGCAGCAGCGGUAAUAAGGAGGAUCGGAGCGUUAGCCGGAGUGAUUGGGUUUAAAGGGAGGGUAGAUGGGUUGUUAAGUCAGUUGUGAAAGUUUGGUGCUCAACCGUAAAAUUGCAAUUGAUACUAGCAGCCUUGCGUUCAGUUGCGGUAGGCGUCAUUCGUGCUGUAGCUGUCA
rnacentral:rRNA from 1 species